rnacentral:rRNA from 1 species
UACAGGGGGUGCAAACGUUGCUCGGAAUUAUUGGGCGUAAAGCGCGCUGAGAGCGGCUACUUAAGUCGGAUGUGAAAGCCCUUGGCUCAACUGAGGAAGUGCACCCGAAACUGAGUGGCUUGAGUACUAAAGAGGGUCGCGGAAUUCCCGGUGUAGAGGUGAAAUUCGUAGAUAAUCGGGAGGAACACCGGUGGCGAAGGCGGCGACCUGGGUAGAUACUGACGCUGAGGCGCGAAAGCGUGGGGAGCAAACAGG